rnacentral:rRNA from 1 species
CCGGCACGGUGAGUAACACGUAUCCAACCUGCCGUCUACUCUUGGACAGCCUUCUGAAAGGAAGAUUAAUACAAGAUGGCAUCAUGAGUCCGCAUGUUCACAUGAUUAAAGGUGUUCCGGUAGACGAUGGGGAUGCGUUCCAUUAGAUAGUAGGCGGGGUAACGGCCCACCUAGUCUUCGAUGGAUAGGGGUUCUGAGAGGAAGGUCCCCCACAUUGGAACUGAGACACGGUCCAA